rnacentral:lncRNA from 1 species
UGCAACAUCUAUCACCAAGCCAAGAUCCAUCCGUUCAAGACUUGGGAGUUUAGGUUCCAAAAAGGCUAGCCACAACAAGAAAACAAAAGCUCGAAUUCUAAAAGAGCCAAGGGAUUUUUGCAGCAAAAUUCCCUCGCAGAUGAAAAGGCACUUCGAAUUGAAGAUAACUACUAGUGAAGUCUUAAAAGCCAAACGACACAC